CAGCAGCCGCGGUAAUACGAAGGGGGCUAGCGUUGCUCGGAAUUACUGGGCGUAAAGGGAGCGUAGGCGGAUCGUUAAGUUGGGGGUGAAAGCCCGGGGCUCAACCUCGGAAUUGCCUUCAAUACUGGGUAUCUAGAGUAUGGUAGAGGUGAGUGGAAUUCCGAGUGUAGAGGUGAAAUUCGUAGAUAUUCGGAGGAACACCAGUGGCGAAGGCGGCUCACUGGACCAUUACUGACGCUGAGGUGCGAAAGCGUGGGGAGCAAACAGGAUUAGAUACCCGCGUAGUCCCUGUCUCUUAUAC
rnacentral:rRNA from 1 species